UGCACACUUGUAACCAUUAGCCUCAGGUAGCUAUUAAGUCUAAAUUAAAAGUAAGUAAAUAUUUAAAAAUUCAGCCCCAGCAGAAAUACAUGUGUCUGCCUACCAUGAAGUGAGGAAGCCAAAAGGCAACGUUGUAAGAUCCUGCUUCAUGCUGUUUGGACUUAGACCUUCCAAACUGUGAUCAAAUAAAAUCUCUCUCCCUUUCCAUGUCUGUCUCUGUCUCCCCCUCCCUCCAUCCCUCCCUCCUCUUUUUUUUUUUUUAAUUUAAAGAUGUCUAUAUGUCUGUAUCUGGGUGAUGAUGCAUGUGGAUGUAAUACCUGUAGUGGCCAGAAGAGGGCAUCAGAUCCCCAGGAGCUGGAGUACCUACAUUGUGGGUGCUAAGAACCAAAUUCACAGGGGGCUGGUGAGAUGGCUCAGUGGGUUAGAGCACCCGACUGCUCUUCCGAAGGUGCAGAGUUCAAAUCCCAGCAACCACAUGGUGGCUCACAACCAUCCGUAACAAGAUCUGACCCCCUCUUCUGGAGUGUCUGAAGACAGCUACAAUGUACUUACAUAUAAUAAAUAAACAGCUACAAUGUACUUACAUAUAAUAAAUAAAUAAAUAACUCUGAAGACAGCUACAAUGUACUUACAUAUAAUAAAUAAACAGCUACAAUGUACUUACAUAUAAUAAAUAAAUAAAUAAAUAAAUAAAAAAAAGAACCAAAUUCACAAGAGCAGUACGUACUUCUAACCACUGAACCACCUCUCCAUCCUCUUAAAAAAAAAAAAAAAAAAAAAA
rnacentral:lncRNA from 1 species